rnacentral:other from 1 species
UUGAGUUUAAACUUUUAAAAGUUGAGUCACGGCUGGUUGCGCAGCAAAAGCCCCGCAGUGUGGAGAAAGCCUAAACUAAACGUGGUUUGGGUGGUGCGGGGGUGACUUUUGGGGGAUAAGGGGCGGUGGAGCCCAGGGACUGCCAAAGCCCUGCCGCGGCCUCCGACGCGCGCCCCCCGCCCCUCGCCUCUCCCNNNNNNNNNNACGGGCUCCCGGGCGCUGCAGCUUGGGAGGCGGCUCUCCCCAGGCGGCGUCCGCGGAGACACCCAUCCGUGAACCCCAGGUCCCGGGCCGCCGGCUCGCCGCGCACCAGGGGCCGGCGGACAGAAGAGCGGCCGAGCGGCUCGAGGCUGGGGGACCGCGGGCGCGGCCGCGCGCUGCCGGGCGGGAGGCUGGGGGGCCGGGGCCGGGGCCGUGCCCCGGAGCGGGUCGGAGGCCGGGGCCGGGGCCGGGGGACGGCGGCUCCCCGCGCGGCUCCAGCGGCUCGAGGAUCCCGGCCGGGCCCUGCAGGGACCAUG